rnacentral:rRNA from 1 species
CUAAUACCGCAUACGAUCUAAGGAUGAAAGGUGGGGGAUCUUCGGACCUCAUGCUCAUGGAGUGGCCGAUAUCUGAUUAGCUAGUUGGUGAGGUAAAGGCUCACCAAGGCGACGAUCAGUAGCUGGUUUGAGAGAACGACCAGCCACACUGGAACUGAGACACGGUCCAGACUCCUACGGGAGGCAGCAGUGGGGAAUUUUGGACAAUGGGGGCAACCCUGAUCCAGCAAUGCCGCGUGAGUGAAGAAGGCCUUCGGGUUGUAAAGCUCUUUUGUCAGGGAAGAAACGGUGAGUUCUAAUACAGCUUGCUAAUGACGGUACCUGAAGAAUAAGCACCGGCUAACUACGUG